CCUACGGGUGGCAGCAGUAGGGGAUAUUGCUCAAUGGGGGAAACCCUGAUGCAGCAACGCCGCGUGGAGGAUGCAGGUUUUCGGAUUGUAAACUCCUUUUGUUAGAGAAGAUAAUGACGGUAUCUAACGAAUAGGCACCGGCUAACUCCGUGCCAGCAGCCGCGGUAAUACGUAGGGUGAAAGCGUUAAUCGGAAUCACUGGGCGUAAAGAGCGCGUAGGCGGGGUAGCAAGUCAGAUGUGAAAUCCUAUGGCUUAACCAUAGAACUGCAUUUGAAACUGUUGUUCUAGAGUAUGGGAGGGGUAGGUGGAAUUCUUGGUGGAGGGGUAAAAUCCGUAGAGAGCAAGAGGAAUACUCAUUGCGAAGGCGACCUGCUAGAACAUAACUGACGCUGAUGCGCGAAAGCGUGGGGAGCAAACAGGAUUAGAUACCCGGGUAGUC
rnacentral:rRNA from 1 species